rnacentral:rRNA from 1 species
UACAGAGGUCUCAAGCGUUGUUCGGAUUCAUUGGGCGUAAAGGGUGCGUAGGCGGCGCAGUAAGUUGGGUGUGAAAUCUCGGAGCUUAACUCCGAAACUGCAUUCGAUACUGCCGUGCUUGAGGACUGGAGAGGAGACUGGAAUUUACGGUGUAGCGGUGAAAUGCGUAGAUAUCGUAAGGAAGACCAGUGGCGAAGGCGGGUCUCUGGACAGUUCCUAACGCUGAGGCACGAAGGUCAGGGGAGCAAACGGG